rnacentral:lncRNA from 1 species
CAUGUUCUUCUACAUGUAACAUAAUCUUAUCACAUCUUUUCAAACACAUCAUCAUCACUAUUAUUUAUUAACAAACUAUAGCACCUUGAAAGCGAUAACCUUCCAACCCAUCUCCACCUUCUAAUUAUUCUCAACAAAAACCACUCUCUCUCACACCAUCACUCAAACCAUUUCUCACUUCUUUCACACACAAAAAAAAAACCUCAAACCUUAUUUUCUCCAAACCUUCACCCAACAAAACAACAACCUUCUCCACCUCAAAACAUGUCGGUAAAAGAGUGCAACCACCACAAAGGAAAGAAACACAAACGCUUCAGAAAAAUCUUCUGGGGAAUCGUAAUCUUCCUCUUCAUCGUCCUCCUCACAAUCCUAAUCACCUGGGCAAUCCUAAAACCUUCCAAACCAUCUUUCAUCCUCCAAGACGUCACCGUCUACGCUUUCAACGCCACCGUUCCAAAUUUCCUCACCUCAAAUUUCCAAGUCACCGUCUCUUCUCGUAACCCAAACGACA